UCCGCUAUGGUGUAGUGGCUAGCAUUGGUCGCUUUCAUUGCAUUCGCGUGCAUAGGUGCCGACUAGACCCGGGUUCAAUUCCCGGUGGCGGAA